GGAAUAGUUCCUGACAUAUUGAUGAAAU
rnacentral:sRNA from 1 species